ACGAGUGGCGGACGGGUGAGUAAUGUCUGGGAAACUGCCCGAUGGAGGGGGAUAACUACUGGAAACGGUAGCUAAUACCGCAUAACGUCGCAAGACCAAAAGGGGGGACCGUUGGGCCUCUUGCCAUCGGAUGUGCCCAGAUGGGAUUAGCUAGUAGGUGGGGUAACGGCUCACCUAGGCGACGAUCCCUAGCUGGUCUGAGAGGAUGACCAGCCACACUGGAACUGAGACACGGUCCAG
rnacentral:rRNA from 1 species